rnacentral:rRNA from 1 species
UACGGAGGGUGCAAGCGUUAUCCGGAUUCACUGGGUUUAAAGGGCGCGUAGGCGGGCAGUUAAGUCAGUGGUGAAAUCCUUGAGCUCAACUCGAGAACUGCCAUUGAUACUAUCUGUCUUGAAUAUUGUGGAGGUAAGCGGAAUAUGUCAUGUAGCGGUGAAAUGCUUAGAUAUGACAUAGAACACCUAUUGCGAAGGCAGCUUACUACGCAUAUAUUGACGCUGAGGCACGAAAGCGUGGGGAUCAAACAGG